rnacentral:rRNA from 1 species
UACGGGGGGGGCAAGCGUUGUUCGGAAUUACUGGGCGUAAAGGGCGCGUAGGCGGCCUUCUAAGUCGAACGUGAAAUCCCCGGGCUCAACCCGGGAACUGCGUCCGAGACUGGAAGGCUUGAAUCCGGGAGAGGGAUGUGGAAUUCCAGGUGUAGCGGUGAAAUGCGUAGAUAUCUGGAGGAACAUCGGUGGCGAAGGCGGCAUCCUGGACCGGUAUUGACGCUGAGGCGCGAAAGCCAGGGGAGCAAACGGG